rnacentral:rRNA from 1 species
UUGACCUCCGAUCAGGUAGGGAUACCCGCUGAACUUAAGCAUAUCAAUAAGAAGGAAAAAAGCCGCA